rnacentral:rRNA from 1 species
AUUGAACGCUGGCGGCAGGCCUAACACAUGCAAGUCGAACGAGUGGCGGCCGGGUGAGUAACGCGUGGUAACCUGCCUCAUAGCGGGGGAUAACUAUUUGAAACGAUAGCUAAUACCGCAUACUUUGAGAUGGACCUGCGUGGUAUUAGCUAGUUGGUGAGGUAAAGGCUCACAAAGGCGACGAUACAUAGCCGACCUGAGAUGGUGAUCGUCCACACUGUGACUGAGACACGGCCCGUACUCCUACGGGAUGCAGCAGGGGGGAAUAUUGCACAAUGGGCGCAAGCCUGAUGCAGCCAUGCCGCGUGUAUGAAGAAGGCCUUCGGGUUGUAAAGUACGUUCAGCGGGGAGGCGUUACCCGCAGAAGAAGCACCGGCUAACUCCGUGCCAGCAGCCGCGGUAAUUC